AUGGCCGCCUUGCCGCAGCUGUUGCUGACCCUCUUCCCCGCGGUGACCGCCGUCGUGUUUCUGCUGGUGGCCUCGGCGCCGGGAGCACGCGCUCACGUGUCCUCAUCCUCGUCGGCGACGUACCGCUGCGGCUGGUGCCCGCGCAGAUCCACCGCGUCCAUCCUCCCUCCCGGCGCCGGUGCACUUACCGGCCCCGCCUGCGGGUAUGGUGGCCAGGCGGCGGAGAUGGCCGUCGACGGGGGGUUCCACAUUGCGGCCGUCAGCGCCGGUUUCUUCCGCGGCGGCCGGGCCUGCGGCGCAUGCUACCAGCUGAGGUGCAGGGGCCGGAGCGCGUGCGCGAAGGAUGGCGUCAAGGUCGUCGUCGUCGCCGACGUGGCAGAGACGAACAUGACCGGUGGGAAGUUUCUGCUCACCAAGGACGCCUUCGCCGCCUUGGCGACGGCAGACCGUGCCGCCGAGCUCGCGGACGCGGCCGUCGACGUGGACUUCAGGAGGAUUCCCUGCGUGUACAAGAGCAAGAACCUGGCGGUUAAAGUGGAGGAGACGAGCAGCAGGGAGCGGGGCUACCUCGCCCUCCGCUUCCUCUACCAGGGCGGCCAGACUGACAUCGCCGCCGUCGAGGUCGCGCAGGCGGUCACCGGUUCGAGCGGCACCAAGAACGAGGCCUCGCCGUCGCAGACAACGUGGCAGUACAUGACGCGGCGCGAGGCGUCCCCGUCAGUGUGGCGCAUGUCGCGCGUGCCGACCGGUCCGCUGCGGCUCCGGCUCGUGGUCACCGCGGGCUCUGGCGGCAAGUGGCUGCGCGCCGACGGGGCGGUGCUCCCCGCGGAGUGGCAGCCCGGCGCGGUCUACGACACCGGCCUGCGCGUCACCGACGUCGCCGCAAACACCUGCGGCGCCGCCUCUUGCUCCGCCACGGACGAGGACGAUGACGCCGAGCAGCUCCGAUGA
rnacentral:rRNA from 1 species